rnacentral:rRNA from 1 species
UACGAAGGGGGCUAGCGUUGCUCGGAAUCACUGGGUGUAAAGGGUGCGUAGGCGGGUCUUUAAGUCAGGGGUGAAAUCCUGGAGCUCAACUCCAGAACUGCCUUUGAUACUGAAGAUCUUGAGUUCGGGAGAGGUGAGUGGAACUGCGAGUGUAGAGGUGAAAUUCGUAGAUAUUCGCAAGAACACCAGUGGCGAAGGCGGCUCACUGGCCCGGUACUGACGCUGAGGUGCGAAAGCGUGGGGAGCAAACAGGG